rnacentral:rRNA from 1 species
ACUUUCAACAACGGAUCUCUUGGUUCUGGCAUCGAUGAAGAACGCAGCGAAAUGCGAUAAGUAGUGUGAAUUGCAGAAUUCAGUGAAUCAUCGAAUCUUUGAACACACAUUGCGCCCCUUGGUAUUCCAUAGGGCAUGCCUGUUCGAGCGUCAUUUGUACCUUCAAGCAUU